rnacentral:lncRNA from 1 species
ACUUAGACAGACUAUGAAGAGAUACAUAGGGUGAGAAACGGAGGCCUUCAGCCAACAGCUGGGAGAAGCUGAGUCCCAUCAGCCAUUCAAAAGACUGCAGCCCCAGCCAAGAGUUUGAUGUAACCUCAGGAGAGACCCUGAGCCAGAACCACCUAGAAAAGCUGGGAUACAUGAAGACUGCCAUCCCUUGAGUCACUUGCCCUGUAGCUGCCACUGUUGGAAAAGGGCUUGCUUCUGUGUCCUUGUGCCCACUUUGAAAAUCCCUGGGAAGUCCUUGGAGUCAGAUGAGCAGGCCUCCGCCACUCUGCCAAAAAGUCUGUUCAGAAGUUUCACAUCACUAGAGAAGAGAGAAGAAGGACAUUUGUACUGGGAGGAGUCGACCGGUCCCAGUAAGGAGAAAGUAGCUACAGCGUCAUGGGUGAGCUGGGUCCCCCAAAAAGGAACUUUAAGGGAAUGGACUGAAUCAAGUCUGAGAUGUCCCCAAAGCAAGACCAAAGAACUGAGGAAGAGAAGCAUUCAUCAGAAACCAAAAUUCAGCUACAAGUGAGCAUCCAGAUGGAGGUAUUAUGAAGAGGAACUGAGACUGAGGGCAAAAGGUGCCAGCCAGAAUCCUGGAUAGGAGAGCAAGAACCAGGACCUCAUUUAAGAGACAACCUGCUUAAGGCAGAGUAAGCACAAAUGGGCACUCAACAUCAAUGAAGUAACAGCAAAGUCACAUAAUAAAAGCAUGGAAUUAAGACAAGCUGAAGAUUCGGAUGCAAUAAAACAACCACCCAUUAUUA